UUGGCCGUAGCUCAAACGGCCAGAGCACUGCGCUGUGAACGCGGCAUCGUGCGGGUUCAAAUCCCGCCGGCCAACCCA
rnacentral:tRNA from 1 species